GAUGAACGCUGGCGGCGUGCCUAAUACAUGCAAGUCGAGCGAACGGACGAGAAGCUUGCUUUUCUGAUGUUAGCGGCGGACGGGUGAGUAACACGUGGAUAACCUACCUAUAAGACUGGGAUAACUUCGGGAAACCGGAGCUAAUACCGGAUAAUAUUUUGAACCGCAUGGUUCAAAAGUGAAAGACGGUCUUGCUGUCACUUAUAGAUGGAUCCGCGCUGCAUUAGCUAGUUGGUAAGGUAACGGCUUACCAAGGCAACGAUGCAUAGCCGACCUGAGAGGGUGAUCGGCCACACUGGAACUGAGACACGGUCCAGACUCCUACGGGAGGCAGCAGUAGGGAAUCUUCCGCAAAGGGCGAAAGCCUGACGGAGCAACGCCGCGUGAGUGAUGAAGGUCUUCGGAUCGUAAAACUCUGUUAUUAGGGAAGAACAUAUGUGUAAGUAACUGUGCACAUCUUGACGGUACCUAAUCAGAAAGCCACGGCUAGCUACGUG
rnacentral:rRNA from 1 species